CACACUAACAAAUACACACUGAUGUGGUUUAAUUUUCUUCUUCCAACAGAAACAAAGAGGAAACACAGAGUUUGAAUGAAAACAUUUUUAUUUUAAAGCUGCAGAUAAAUAAUCAAUAAAUUAACUGAACAUGUAUUUAUCUACAGAGUGAUGAAGAGUCAUCAUCAUCAUCAUCAUCGUCAUCGUCACAGCUCCCUCUGGUGGAGGAAAAGACAAACAGAAAACACAACCAGGCGAAUGUGUAAACUUCUUCCCACCACAUGAAACCGUCGUUGCUACUAAAGUGAGUCUCAGCGAAGCUGAAGUCGGGGCCAGAAGCUGCACUGAUCCAGAGACGUGUCACCAGGCAGAUGUUAAUUCUCUUUUCUCGGGAAAAACUUUACAUCAUAUAAUUAUUAUUCUGGUUCUGAUCCUAACAUCUUCUCAUUCUGUCUUUGUCAAAGUGUAAAUAUAUGUGCAUCAUGUGUAUAAUAUGUGAUAUACGCCACAUGUGUAACCCUGAACCCUAUAGAACAGAUCGUUGAUAUCUGCAGUCAAACUAAUCUGUGAAGAAGCCCUAACCCUAACUAAACAUUUGAUAAAUAGGAAUCAUAUGACACAGACGGGAACGUGUUGGUUUUACCUGUAAACGUGGUGAUUGUUUAAAGAAAUGUGAUGGGACUGACAGGUAACAUGGUGGGUGUGUUAUUUCUCAAUGUGUCGACAUUUUCACAUCAGUUUUAUAGGAAAACAUGUUUGUUAAGACUAUUCUGCUAUUUUCUGAUUUAUUAAGUACAGACAAACUUCACUCCAGACAAAUGAUGUGUAUUUCUGAACAAAAUAACAUACAAUUCUGUAUUGAGCAGAAAAUCAUUUGAGAAAGAAUACAAAGUUAGUUAAAGUGACUGUACUGUUGUGUUAAUUAUAUAGAGUAAAUUAAAUAAGAGUUAAAACUA